GUGUCUUUCUGGAUUUUUCCUUGUGGUUUUGUUUUCCUCCUAUUUUUCAAGGAGUUUUUCGGUAUGAAUGGACAUUCUGUUUGAACAGAACAAAUCCCCUGUACACGCCAAUGACCCAAUAAAACCGCUCAUAAACGCUCACCGCAGACAUCCAGCUGCAGCGCUGUGGAGCUGGAGCCUCUCUCGUUGUGGGCAUGGCAGCGAUAAGUCCCAGAGUCUGAUUGGUUGACGGCUGGGAUCAAGAGUGAGGUGGCGCGUUGAUAACCACGGGAACCAGGCAGCAUGUGUGAGGCGUUUGAUUCAUUAGGAUGCUGCGGGGGGAAAAGAGACAAAGGUGAUCAGAUAUUUAUUUAAUCCAAUUUCUUAGUGUUUUUAUGUUUUCUUCUUGUUUAAAUGUAUUUUGGUUGCACAUAUUUCUUCUUGUUCUUAUUUCUUCUUUGUUGACGUUUAUAUUUGUUUGUAUUUCAUAAUCUUGUUCAUAAUUCUCAUUGAUGUCAUUCACAUUGUUUAUAUUUCAUAUUCAUAUAUUGAAGUUAGAAGUAUUGUUUUAUUCCUGCGUCUGUAAUAUUUUUAUUUGUGUGUAAUGCUAACCUCCCCUCCCCCAACAAUAUUCAAUCAAUAUUCAUUAUAAGUACACCGUUCAGUACAUUUUUCUGUGAACUAUUAUUGUUGUUGUAGAGUUUCCAUUCAAUCCAAUCACAGUUAUGCUAUUAUUUUCCAUUUUAUAAAAUUGAGCUCGUCAUCAUUCUGCUCCCCUUUUAAAUAUGAUUCUUUCUCUGCCUUUAGUUGACAUCGCAACAUCAACCAACCCAUAGAAUCCAAGCUCAAAAUCUUUCUGUGAAGUCACAUUUCCAUGUUAUCCACUGUAAUAAAUAAUUGUCUUAAUUCA